rnacentral:rRNA from 1 species
UACGUAGGGGGCGAGCGUUGUCCGGAAUCAUUGGGCGUAAAGCGCGUGUAGGCGGCCCGGUAAGUCCGCUGUGAAAGUCGGGGGCUCAACCCUCGGAUGCCGGUGGAUACUGUCGGACUAGAGUACGGAAGAGGCGAGUGGAAUUCCUGGUGUAGCGGUGAAAUGCGCAGAUAUCAGGAGGAACACCGAUUGCGAAGGCAGCUCGCUGGGACGUUACUGACGCUGAGACGCGAAAGCGUGGGGAGCAAACAGG